rnacentral:rRNA from 1 species
ACGCUCGACACCUACGGGGGGCAGCAGUUGGGAAUAUUGGACAAUGGAGGAAACUCUGAUCCAGUGACGCCGCGUGAAGGAAGAAGGUCUUCGGAUUGUAAACUUAUUUUGUCAGGGAAGAAAAAUGACUGUACCUGAAGAAAAAGCACCGGCUAACUACGUGCCGAGAGCCGCGGUAAUCUGAGCGGGCUGGCAAGGC